rnacentral:rRNA from 1 species
AUUGAACGCUGGCGGCACGCUUAACACAUGCAAGUCGAGCGGUAACAUGUCUAGUAGCAAUACUAGAUGAUGACGAGCGGCGGACGGGUGAGUAACACGUAGGAACUUGCCCAGUAGAGGGGGACAACCAAGGGAAACUUUGGCUAAUACCGCAUAUUCUCGAGAGAGGAAAGCUGCCUGCAAAGGGGGCGCUAUUGGAGAGGCGUGCGUCCGAUUAGCUAGUUGGUGAGGUAAUAGCUUACCAAGGCGAGGAUCGGUAACUGGUUGGAGAGGACGACCAGUCACACUGGGACUGAGACACGGCCCAGACUCCUACGGGAGGCAGCAGUGGGGAAUCUUGGACAAUGGGGGCAACCCUGAUCCAGCGAUGCCGCGUGAGUGAAGAAGGCCUUCGGGUCGUAAAGCUCUUUAGGUUGGGAAGAAGGUUGGUAGUUUAAGAGAUAAUCAACUUGACUGUACCAGCAGAAUAAGCACCGGCAAACUCUGUGCCAGCCGCCGCCGUAA